rnacentral:rRNA from 1 species
UAAUCCCAACUCAGGGAGGUAGUGACAAGAAAUAACAACUUCGGGCUUGCCCGAGAUUGGAAUGAGUACAACGUACAAUCUUUAACGAGUACCAACUGGAGGGCAAGUCUGGUGCCAGCAGCCGCGGUAAUUCCAGCUCCAGUAGCGUAUACUAAAGUUGUUGCAGUUAAAAAGCUCGUAGUUGAAUUUCUGUGUAGUGUACUUGCGGUCUCCGGACCAAUAUAUACUGCACAUCCAUCUGAACAGCACUUCUUGUCAUUCAUUUGUCGGUUGUGUGAUCAGAUACUUUACCUUGAGAAAAAUAGAGUGUUCCAAGCAGGCGUCCGCCUGAAUAAUAAAGCAUGGAAUAAUACAAUAGGACUGGGUUCUAUUGGUGCAUAGAACUUAGUAAUGAUUAAUAGGGACAGUUGGGGGCAUUUGUAUUUAAUUGUCAGAGGUGAAAUUCUUUGAUUUAUUAAAGACAAACCUAUGCGAAAGCAUUUGCCAAGGAUGUUUUCAUUAAUCAAGAACGAAAGUUAAGGGAUCGAAGACGAUCAGAUACCGUCGUAGUCUUAACCAUAAACUAUGCCGACUAGAGAUUGGAGGUGCAAUCUCAAUACUCCUUCAGCAUCUUAGGAGAAAUCAAAGUCUUUGGGUUCUGGGGGUAGUAUGGUCGCAAGACUGAAACUUAAAGGAAUUGACGGAAGGGCACCACAAGGUGUGGAGCCUGCGGCUUAAUUUGACUCAACACGGGGAAACUUACCAGGUCCAGACAUGGGAAGGAUUGACAGAUUGGAGAUCUUUCUUGAUUCCAUGGAUGGUGGUGCAUGGCCGUUCUUAGUUGGUGGAGUGAUUUGUCAGGUUAAUUCCGAUAACGAACGAGACCUCAGCCU